UGAUAUUUAUAAUGUUUUAAAAUGUUAGUUUGUCCGUUUAAAAUGUAGUAACCUAUGUGUGGGGCAAGUUACUAGCUAGCUAUGCUAACGGCUACAGUCAGUCGACCGAGCCUUUGUCCCCUUCAAAUGUGCUCAUGUGGGCUCCUGCAGCCACACACCUGUGUGGAGAAAAGCUAAUGACUAUCGGCAUCGAGCGGCUACAGGCAGGGAGCGGUGGGUCUAGCGUCUGUCCUUUUUCUGUAAUCUCAUACACCUGCGGGGAACAGCUGAUCGUUAUCGCCCUUCCAGCGGCGACAGACAGGAAGCGGUGGAUCUAGCUCGCUGUAGUAAGUUUGUGCUUGAUACUUGUGAUAUCUAAAUAUGUUAGUUGGGUCUGUUUAAAAUGCAGUUACCCACAUGUGAGACAAGCUAAUCGCUAGCGUCGCUAACGGCUACAGUGAGUCAACCGAGCCUUUGUCCCUUUCAAAUGUGCUACUCUGAGUUGGUGCAACCACACACCUGUGUGGGGAACAGCUAAUAGUGAUGGGCCUUCGAUCGGCGACAGGCAGGAAACGGUGGAUCGAGCUUUUGUCCUGUUGACGUGCUGCCGCUCCUGUUUGUGUUGCGUUAGCCGUUAGCAUGCCUUUAGGCCUUUGCACUUUAGAGCUACAGCUGGUCGAUCGCUACAAAAAGAACCUGCAGAUGAACGCGGUUAUGUUUAUUACCCAGUCCUGUGUCACAGCCUAAAUCAACUUGUGAUUUGGGGUUAUGUCAUUGUUCUAUCAAAUUCUAACAUGAUUAGUUGGAAUGAUUACUGUGUUGUGUUUCAAGCUUAGUUGCUAAUUAGUCACAUCUCUACAAUACCUGCUGCUUAUCUGGUCAGUUACCGAUAGCUUGUACCAUAGCCAUUAUAUUUGUAGGACCAAUACAAUUUACAGUAAAUGUAACAGUCUUUUCUAUACUGUAGGAGGGCAAAUCCCAGUUGCCCACAUGCAAGGAGGCUGUCAAACAGAGAAAUCACUGCAGACUGUUGGUACACGGACAUCUGCUGCCCAGCUCAGGAGUAAAGUACCUUUUGUUUUGAUGAGGUGAUGGUGAGGACAGCCACAGCUUCCAUCUGGUAGAGGACUGCUUCCGCUCAGUCUUCCUAAUAGUGAUGAGAACAAGGAUCACCACAUCUCCCUGUUUACCCUACUUUCAUGCAUUUCGUCUUCAAGGCCCUGCAAAAGCUUCUGACCUCAAACCCCCAGACCUCUUAAUUAACUCAGUAACCUAUACAUUGCACAUUGGAGUGUGAAGGUAACAGUUUGUUCUAACUUUGGAGUAGUGGUGUAUUUUUUUGGUUUACAAUAAAGUUGGCUUUAACUAUUA